rnacentral:rRNA from 1 species
CGGUGGAGCAUGUGGUUUAAUUCGAUGAUACGCGAGAAACCGUUACCAGGGCUUGACAUAUACAGGAAUGUUGUAGAGAUACAGCAGCCGCUUGCGGUCUGUAUACAGGUGCUGCAUGGCUGUCGUCAGCUCGUGCUGUGAAGUGUUGGGUUAAGUCCCGCAACGAGCGCAACCCUAUCAUCUGUUGCCAGCAUUUAAGGUGGGGACUCAGAUGAGACUGCCGGUGACAAACUGGAGGAAGGUGGGGACGACGUCAAGUCAUCAUGGCCCUUAUGUCCUGGGCUACACACGUGCUACAAUGGCCGGUACAGAGUGAAGCGAAACCGCGAGGUGAAGCAAAACGCAGAAAGCCGGUCUCAGUACGGAUUGGAGUCUGAAACUCGACUUCAUGAAGUUGGAAUCGCUAGUAAUCGCGCAUCAGCAUGGCGCGGUGAAUACGUUCCCGGGCCUU